AGGGGUGUAGCUCAGCUGGAAGAGCAGCGGUCUCCAAAACCGCAGGUCGCGGGUUCGAAUCCUGCCGCCCCUGCCA
rnacentral:tRNA from 1 species